AAUUAGAUCCAUACCAUCAAAAGAUCCAAACUUUAGAAAAAUACCACCCAAAGUUUUGCACUUAGAAAACUGCCAUUGAAAGUUUGGUCCGUUAUUGACUUCUACCACUACCGUCAUCUGGACGUGAAGUCACGAAUCGAUCAGGGGAUGGAUCAGCCCCGUGCUCAGCUUGACUCAAACGCAACACAUUGAACUGACCCAAGCACCCAGCCCAUCCUGGACCGAACGAGCCCAGACAACCAGACCGAACCAGCGCCAGCGACGGAGACCUCCUGGCGGCGCGCGUCCCCGCGGCGGACCUCCCGGUGGCGCGUCUCCUCGGCGGGCACGGCUCCUUCUCCGAGCGCUCCACCAUGUGCUGAGACGCGGGAACAUCAAUCUGGGCAGGGAUGGAUGGUGUUGGAGUUCCAGAAGGGUAAUCUCACUUGAAUCUCUCCAGAUUCUUUCAAUUUGUACAUAUUUUGCUUGUAUUUGUGUGUGGCACGUGUUGUGUGAAGGGAAUUGUUGUUGUAAAUUGGGCUGAAAUGCAGCCGUUAUGCUGUUCGAUUUUUGACUGAAUAGCUGUUCAAAUGAAGUCUGGGAGUGUUUUUA